rnacentral:lncRNA from 1 species
UUCAGCUUCCCUAAGGAGUCAGGAAUAGCACAACGAAGACGGUUGAAGGACAAAUCCCUGUUGCAGGUAAAACCAUCAAAUACUUUCCUUCUUUGCUUUCAAUAAAUAAUUUAUGUAACCAAAUUAAGUAGUUAACACCUGGCUAUGUUUUACCUUUCUUGUACUGUAUUUUACAUGUGUUUUCUACUAGCGCUUUUAUAUAACUCUCUGAUCUUCUUUACCACAACAGAAUAAGAAACAGAGCUAUUCUCUCAUUUUCUGGGAAUUGUUCACGGCUACUGAUCCCAAAUUCUACAUAGUAUCAGAGUAGAGUGAGUGAUCAAUCUUUGUUUUCAAUCUAAAAUCUUUGAGAAAGAAAGCGAAACCGUGAGAAAAGUGGAAGUAGCAAAACGAGAGGAAACGGUACAACUGUUGCCCGGAAAGAAGAUGGCUCCGAUGGAAUUCUGGUGCUGCAAGGGCCAGAUCGCUGUGGAAUGAUCUUAGUUUCGGCGCCUUUCAUCGGAUGCAUUUAUCGAAUGUGGAGUUCAGCAAUGCGCAUCACACGAGGAGGAAUCAAAAAGAGUUUUAAAGAAGUGGAAAGGAUGUGUUACAUGGCAACGUCAUGGAUUGGAAUUCAGUUUCUAAAAAUCUCAUGCAACAAUUCAAUCCACUUUUUUCCUUUUCUAACAAUCUUCUGCUUGACCUUUCUUCGGUUUGUUUGCCUUUCUUUGUUUUGGUUUUCCACCGUCCCUCUAUUGGUUUGUCCUCGUGUUUUUCUUUGAUGUUUGUUGGUUUUAUUAUUGGUUUUGCAGGUCUUUAGUGGCUUUGGUGAGA